rnacentral:lncRNA from 1 species
AUUAUUUUUUGUCUUUUAUUUCCAAAACUAUAAAAGACAGAGGUUAAGUUUAAGUUUACCUGUCUUGGAGUUAUUGCCCUUUUUUUAUCAAUUUUUUCUUGUAAACGUAUUCAAAGAUCUUUUCCCUUGAAACGGCCUGGUCAUUUGGAACUAAACUUGGUCACAAUAGUCCUUAGGUGGUCCCCUUUAAGAAGUAUAGCCAACAUGUCUGCACCUAAUCCAAGAUGGCCACCAGCGGGGAACAAAGUUUAACAUUGGACCCCAAGGGGAAAUGCAUUCAAAGAUCUUCUCUUUUUAAACUAUUGUGCAAUUAGAACCAAAGUUGGUGAUUGGUCCUUGGAUUGUUUUCAUUAAAAAUUAUAUCUGACACGUCCGCACCCCAUCCAAGAUGGCUGCCAGCGGGGAAAAUAGUUUAACAUUGAACUCUAUGGGGAAAUGCAUUCAAAGAUUUUCUCUUCUGAAACUACUACCAGUUGGAACGAAACUUGAUCAAAAUAGUCCUUUGAUGGUCCCCUUUAAAAAUUGUAUCUGACAGUCCCACACUCGAUCAAAAAUGGCCGCCCCCGAUUAGGGUCUCUACUCCACUGAAAUAUCACUUUCAUUUU